AGUCUAACCUUCGGGAGGACGUUCACCACGGAGUGAUUCAUGACUGGGGUGAAGUCGUAACAAGGUAGCCCUAGGGGAACCUGGGGCUGGAUCACCUCCUUAUACGA
rnacentral:rRNA from 1 species